rnacentral:rRNA from 1 species
AGUUUGAUCCUGGCUCAGGAUGAACGCUAGCGGCAGGCUUAAUACAUGCAAGUCGAGGGGGCAGCAAUGUCACCGGCGAACGGGUGCGUAACGCGUAUGCAACCUACCUACAUCAGGGGGAUAGCCCUAGGAAACUGGGAUUAACACCGCAUAACAAUAGAGUUGGCAUCAACUUUAUUUGAAAUAUUUAUAGGAUGUAGAUGGGCAUGCGUAGGAUUAGCUAGUUGGUAAGGUAACGGCUUACCAAGGCUACGAUCCUUAGGGGCUCUGAGAGGAGUAUCCCCCACACUGGCACUGAGAUACGGGCCAGACUCCUACGGGAGGCAGCAGUAGGGAAUAUUGGGCAAUGGAGGCAACUCUGACCCAGCCAUGCCGCGUGCAGGAAGACGGUCCUCUGGAUUGUAAACUGCUUUUGAAUGGGAAGAAUGUGCUCCUUGCGAGGGGUAAUGACGGUACCAUUAGAAUAAGCCACGGCUAACUACGUGCCAGCAGCCGCGGUAAUACGUAGGUGGCGAGCGUUAUCCGGAUUUAUUGGGUUUAAAGGGUGCGUAGGCGGCUUAAUAAGUCGGUGGUUAAAAGUAGCAGCUUAACUGUUUUACAUGCCAUCGAUACUGUUGAGCUUGAGAUAUUUGGAGGCAGCUAGAAUUUCCGGUGUAGCGGUGAAAUGCAU